rnacentral:rRNA from 1 species
GACGAAGGGGGCUAGCGUUGUUCGGAAUUACUGGGCGUAAAGCGAGUGUAGGUGGUUGUCCAAGUUGGAUGUGAAAGCCUUGAGCUCAACUCAAGAAAUGCAUUCAGGACUGGGCGACUAGAGGACCGGAGAGGAUAGUGGAAUUCCCAGUGUAGUGGUGAAAUACGUAGAGAUUGGGAAGAACACCAGUGGCGAAGGCGGCUAUCUGGACGGUUUCUGACGCUAAGACGCGAAAGCGUGGGGAGCAAACAGG